CGCCUUAGAAACUACAUUACUAGAGUAUAGGAGAGGUUAGUGGAAUUUCAUGUGUAGCGGUGGAAUGCGUAGAUAUAUGAAGGAACACCAGUGGCGAAGGCGGCUAACUGGCCUAUUACUGACGUUGUGGCACGAAAGCGUGGGGAGCAAAUAGGAUUAGAUACCCUAGUAGUCCACGCCGUAAACGAUGAGUACUAAGUGUUGCCAUGAGGCAGUGCUGUAGCUAACGCAUUAAGUACUCCGCCUGAGUAGUAUGCUCGCAAGAGUGAAACUUAAAGGAAUUGACGGGGACCCGCACAAGCGGUGGAGCAUGUGGUUUAAUUCGAAGCAACGCGAAGAACCUUACCAGGUCUUGACAUACCUUGCAAAGCUAUAGAGAUAUAGUAGAGGUUAACAAGGAUACAGGUGGUGCAUGGUUGUCGUCAGUUCGUGUCGUGAGAUGUUUGGUUAAGUUCAGCAACGAACGCAACCCUUGUCCUUAGUUGCCAGCAUUAAGUUGGGGACUCUAAGGAGACUGCUAGUGUAAGCUAGAGGAAGGUGGGGACGACGUCAAAUCAUCAUGCCCCUUAUGACCUGGGCUACACACGUGCUACAAUGGCUGAUACAAAGAGUCGCUAAACCGCGAGGUCAAGCAAAUCUCAAAAAGUCAGUCUCAGUCCGGAUUGAAGUCUGCAACUCGACUUCAUGAAGUCGGAAUCGCUAGUAAUCGCGAAUCAGCAAUGUCGCGGUGAAUACGUUCUCGGGUCUUGUACACACCGCCCGUCAAACCA
rnacentral:rRNA from 1 species